rnacentral:rRNA from 1 species
AACGAACGCUGGCGGCAGGCCUAACACAUGCAAGUCGAGCGGGCGUAGCAAUACGUCAGCGGCGGACGGGUGAGUAACACGUGGGAAUAUGCCUUUCGGUUUGGAACAACUCGGGGAAACCCGUGCUAAUUCCGGAUACGCCCUUAGGGGGAAAGAUUUAUCGCCGAAAGAUUAGCCCGCGUCCGAUUAGCUAGUUGGUGAGGUAACGGCCCACCAAGGCGACGAUCGGUAGCUGGUUUGAGAGAACGACCAGCCACACUGGGACUGAGACACGGCCCAGACUCCUACGGGAGGCAGCAGUGGGGAAUCUUGGACAAUGGAGGAAACUCUGAUCCAGCCAUGCCGCGUGAGUGAUGAAGGCCUUCGGUU